GACGAACCGUGCGAACGUUGUUCGGAAUCACUGGGCUUAAAGCGCGUGUAGGCGGCCCGGCGCGUCGGAUGCUGAAAUCCCCCGGCUCAACCGGGGAAGGGGCGCCGAUACGGCCGGGCUGGAGGGGGGUAGGGGCGCUGGAACUCACGGUGGAGCGGUGAAAUGCGUUGAGAUCGUGAGGAACGCCCGCGGCGAAAGCGAGCGCCUGGACCCUUUCUGACGCUGAGACGCGAAAGCUAGGGGAGCAAACGGG
rnacentral:rRNA from 1 species